rnacentral:rRNA from 1 species
AGAGUUUGAUCAUGGCUCAGAGCGAACGCUGGCGGCAGGCUUAACACAUGCAAGUCGAGCGGGCGUAGCAAUACGUCAGCGGCAGACGGGUGAGUAACGCGUGGGAACGUACCUUUUGGUUCGGAACAACCCAGGGAAACUUGGGCUAAUACCGGAUAAGCCCUUACGGGGAAAGAUUUAUCGCCGAAAGAUCGGCCCGCGUCUGAUUAGCUAGUUGGUGAGGUAACGGCUCACCAAGGCGACGAUCAGUAGCUGGUCUGAGAGGAUGAUCAGCCACAUUGGGACUGAGACACGGCCCAAACUCCUACGGGAGGCAGCAGUGGGGAAUAUUGGACAAUGGGCGCAAGCCUGAUCCAGCCAUGCCGCGUGAGUGAUGAAGGCCCUAGGGUUGUAAAGCUCUUUUGUGCGGGAAGAUAAUGACGGUACCGCAAGAAUAAGCCCCGGCUAACUUCGUGCCAGCAGCCGCGGUAAUACGAAGGGGGCUAGCGUUGCUCGGAAUCACUGGGCGUAAAGGGUGCGUAGGCGGGUCUUUAAGUCAGGGGUGAAAUCCUGGAGCUCAACUCCAGAACUGCCUUUGAUACUGAAGAUCUUGAGUUCGAGAGAGGUGAGUGGAACUGCGAGUGUAGAGGUGAAAUUCGUAGAUAUUCGCAAGAACACCAGUGGCGAAGGCGGCUCACUGGCCCGAUACUGACGCUGAGGCACGAAAGCGUGGGGACAAACAGGAUUAGAUACCCUAGUAGUCC